AAAGCGCGGAGUCACUGCUGGAGGGAGGGGGAGCGGAAUUAGCGGGCAGUUGGAAAGCCCGCGAAACGCUCUUUCCGCCUGGGAGGCCGGACGACAGCGCUCGGGCAGGAAGAAGAGGAAGUGCUCCUCCUCUAGGGAUUGUCAGGGGCUUCGUCCCGACGAGAGCUGACUGCCCUGGGCUGCUGCUGACCUCCGGCGGAGCUGAGCCAAAAUGUCCCCGGAAUCUAAAAAGCUUUUCAACAUCAUUAUUUUAGGAGUUGCUUUUAUGUUUAUGUUCACUGCCUUUCAAACUUGUGGAAAUGUGGCGCAAACUGUCAUCAGGAGCUUAAAUAACACAGAUUUUCACGGCAGUGGAUAUACCAGCAUGGCCAUUAUCUAUGGAGUGUUCUCUGCCUCAAAUUUGAUUACACCGUCAGUGGUGACCAUUGUAGGACCUCAACUCUCUAUGUUUGCCAGUGGUUUAUUUUACAGCAUGUACAUUGCCGUUUUUAUCCAGCCUUUCCCAUGGUCCUUCUACACAGCCUCUGUUUUCAUUGGAAUUGCAGCUGCUGUGCUUUGGACAGCACAAGGAAACUGCCUGACAAUAAAUUCCGAUGAGCACACCAUUGGGAGAAACAGUGGGAUUUUCUGGGCACUCCUGCAGUCUAGCUUGUUCUUUGGAAAUCUCUACAUAUAUUUUGCCUGGCAAGGGAAAACUCAGAUAUCAGAGAGUGACCGAAGAACAGUGUUUAUUGCCCUAACAGUGAUUAGCCUUGUGGGGACAGUUCUGUUCUUUCUCAUUCGGAAACCAGAUUCUGAAAAUGUCCUAGGAGAAGAUGAAUCUUCUGAUGAUCAGGACAUGGAAGUCAACGAGUCUGCCCAGAACAAUCUGACAAAGGCAGUAGAUGCUUUUAAAAAGUCUUUUAAGUUAUGUGUCACCAAGGAGAUGCUCCUUCUUAGUAUUACAACUGCUUAUACAGGUCUGGAGUUAACGUUCUUUUCUGGUGUAUAUGGAACCUGUAUUGGUGCUAUAAAUAAAUUUGGAGCGGAAGAGAAAAGCCUUAUUGGACUUUCCGGCAUUUUCAUCGGCAUUGGAGAAAUUUUAGGUGGAAGCCUCUUCGGCCUGCUGAGCAAGAACAAUCGUUUUGGUAGAAAUCCAGUUGUGCUGCUAGGCAUCCUGGUGCACUUUAUGGCUUUUUAUCUAAUAUUUCUCAACAUGCCUGGAGAUGCUCCCAUUGCUCCCAUUGAAGGAACUGACAGCAGUGCAUACAUCAGAUCCAGCAAAGAAGUUGCCAUUCUCUGCAGUUUUCUGUUGGGCCUUGGAGACAGCUGCUUUAAUACCCAGCUGCUUAGUAUCUUGGGCUUUCUGUACUCUGAAGAUAGCGCCCCAGCAUUUGCCAUCUUCAAGUUUGUUCAGUCUAUUUGCGCAGCCGUGGCAUUUUUCUACAGCAACUACCUUCUCCUUCACUGGCAACUCCUGGUCAUGGUGAUAUUUGGGUUUUCUGGAACAAUUUCAUUCUUCACUGUGGAAUGGGAAGCUGCUGCCUUUGUAGCCCGCGGCUCAGACUACCAAAGUAUCUGAUCAGGUGUCCAUGAGGGGACACGUGUGACCUCAGAAACAGAGUUGGACACAGAGCUUGGUAGAAGAAGUCUCCUUUGAUCUUCACACUAUAUUGGAUGAUGUUCAGUAUGGAAAAUCAAGGAAUUAAGACUGUUAAAUCAGCCAGAGUUGGUUUUCAAGUUUACAUACAUGAGUUAUUUAAACUGUUGGCUAAAGACCACUUUCUGCCCUUCGUCAUGCGGAAUAGGCCUCAGAGCAGCCCACAGAAUGGCAGCCGUCUCCAUCAAAGGACGCAAGCAAGGACAGCCGGAGAGAGCGAGAACAAGAUGGAAGCCGCAGCCUCUCAUAACUUCAUCACUCUGCACUUUGUCUAUUAGGUGCUAGUAACUAAUUGCAGCCUCCCCUCAGGGGAGGGGAUUGGUGGGGAGCAUCUUACAAGGCUGCCCACCUUGUCCAACCUGUCAUACCAAGACUUACAUUGAAGGUGACAACUGGGUCCUAUAUUCCCAAGCCCCACAUCCUCCAGACCCUCGCUCUGUUUGCUCAUAAUGGAUCUGUACAACUCUGCUGGCAGCAGGAGGUGAAGCAGCCUCUGUUAAUGACAUUGAGAAUUUUCCUGACAAGCCAUGGCAUCUUGUCACCACUAGGAUUCCUGAUGAUCAUUGUCAAAAGGGAAAUGAAAUGGAGUGAAGUGCAGUAUGGCCGAAACCCUUUUCCUAGGCUGUCUCGCACUUGCUAUGUGCUAUAGCAUUCAUUUUUAGUUUUAUACUUGCUUUUUUGUUAGAGACAGGGUCUCGCUCUGUUGCCCAGGCUAGUUUGCAGUCGCAUAAUCAUGGCUCACUGUAGCUUCAACCUCUUAGGCUCAAGCAAUACUGCCUCAGCCUCCCAAGUAGCUAGUAAUUUUUUUUUUAAUUUUUUGUAAAGACAAUGUCUUAUUAUCUUGCCCAGGCUGCCCUUGAACUCCUGGGCUCCAGUGAGCCUCCUGCCUUGGCCUCCCAAAGUACUGGGAUUACAGGGAUGAGCUACUAUGCUUUUUUUUUUCCCCUCCCCCAUGGGAAGUUUGUUUUGCUUUUAUUCAGUUCUUGUGUCUAUACAUAGACUUGAUCUUGGUCGGCUCUUUGGAUGACUGGAUACCAUUAAGGUCAUCUCUUAAAUUCUUGGCAUUAGUUGAGUUAAAGAUGAAAUGGGGGCCAGGCUUCAUUUUGGGAGGGUGAGGUGGGAGGAUCACAAGGUCAAGAGUUUGCGACCAGCCUGACCAACAUGGUGAAACCUCAUCUUUACUAAGAAUACACAAAUUAGCCAGGUGUGGUGGUGGGCACCUGUAAUCCCAGCUAUGCAGUAGGCUGAAGCAGGAGAAUUGCUUGAAUCCGGGAGGCGGAGGUUGCUGUGAGCCAAGGUCACACCACUGCAUGCCAGCCUGAGUGACAGAGCAAGACUCUGUCUUGGGGAGAAAGAAAAAUAAAGAUGAAAUGUGACAAUGAAAUAGAGUUUAAUUUUUAUGCUUGUCUUAUAUAUGCUGUUGAAAAAUGUUGUCCUGAUACUUCCAGCUAAGUAAAUGCCUCAGCUGGGCCUCCCAUGGGUGUGUGCUUGUGUGUGUGGAUGUCCUACUCUUUUAUUGCAAGUUUCAUAUUUUCUGUAUUUAGAUUUGGUUUAGACCUUGAGCAAUGUUUAUUGAACCACAGGUGUUUUUCUCUGUGAGAAUGAAAGCACUCCUCUCUUCCCUCCCGAGUUUUCCCAUACCCCAACUUGAAAGCCUUCAAACGUGUGCUUUGACUGCCCACACAGAUUUCUUUCCUCUAGAAGUUUUUGUUGGCUGAUUGGUUGGUUGUUGACUUACAGUAAGUUCCUUGGGAGUUUUGGGUUUUUUUUCCCUUUAUUUUUCUUGAGGUGGAAUUUGGCUCUUGUUGCCCAGGCUGGAGUGCAAUGGUGUGGUUUUGGCUCACAGCAACCUCCACCUCCUGAUUACAAACGAUUCUCCCGUCUCAGCCUCCCGAAUAAUCCCAGCACUUUGGGAGGCUGAGGCGGGUGGAUUAUGAGGUCAGGAGAUCGAGACCAUCCUGGCCAGUACGCUGAAUCCCCGUCUCUAUUAAAAAUACAAAAAUUAGCCAGGUGUGGUGGCAAAUGCCUGUAGUUUCAGCUACUUGGGAGGCUGAGGCAGGAGAAUCGCUUGAACCCAGGAGGCAGAAGUUGCAGUGAGCUGAGAUUGCACCUCUGCACUCCAGCCUGAUGACAGAGCAAGACUCCGUCACAAAAAAAAAAAAAAAAAAAAAAAAAAAGAA